CAGCAGCCGCGGGAAUACGUAGGGUGCAAGCGUUAAUCGGAAUUACUGGGCGUAAAGCGUGCGCAGGCGGUUAUAUAGGUCAGAUGUGAAAUCCCCGGGCCCAACCUGGGAACUGCAUUUGAGACUGUAUGGCUAGAGUGUGUCAGAGGGGGGUAGAAUUCCACGUGUAGCAGUGAAAUGCGUAGAUAUGUGGAGGAAUACCGAUGGCGAAGGCAGCCCCCUGGGAUAACACUGACGCUCAUGCACGAAAGCGUGGGGAGCAAACAGGAUUAGAUACCCGUGAGUCCCUGUCUCUUAUACC
rnacentral:rRNA from 1 species